CUGGCUCUGUCUGCAGCGGGUGCCCCGCAGAUAUUCUAGACCAUGUGUUGCAGGUCAUCCCAGUCCAUCACAGCCAUGGAGUGCACAACCGAGCGAGGCUGCGUGUCUAGG